CUUUCGUUCGUUGGUUCAUUCAUUCGUUUAGCAAAUGUUCCGUGCUGCCAGCCUCUAUUGCGCCAGGCUCUGUGCCAGGUCCUCGGGGUGCCAACUCGAAUACCCCACACUUGCCUUCACUUCAUCCGUCAUCCGAUAUUUAUUGGGAACCAAACGAUAAAUCCACCGAUUCUGCUGGAUCUCUGCCCUCUAAGAGCUUACAUUCUAGAGGAAGAGACAUAGUCCAAGCCGACAAAUAGGUGAAGAUGAUGUCAGAUCUCUGACCAAGCCCGGGAGGCAUUUCCAUUGCUUCUUCACUGCUGCUCAUAAUUUUGAGGUUUGCUUCUAUGUCACCCAGGAGGGAAGUCUCACUUGACCAAACAUCUCGGCAAGUGUGAACAAAGCAGCUAAGAAUAUUCAUGUGCAGGUUUUUGUGUGGACAUACGUUUUCAACUUAAUGCAGAAUGUCAUGGGUUUUUUAGAGGUGUGUUGUUUAAUUUCCCAAUAUUUGGGGUUUUGCCUGAUAUCUUAUUGCCAUGUAUUUCUAAUUAAUCCUGCUGUGGUCAAAGAAUAUACUCUAUAAGAUUUUAACCUUCUGAAAUUUGCUAAAA